rnacentral:rRNA from 1 species
AUCCCAGGAGCUUGCUCCUGGGUGAGAGUGGCGAACGGGUGAGUAAUGCGUGACCGACCUGCCCCAUACACCGGAAUAGCUCCUGGAAACGGGUGGUAAUGCCGGAUGCUCCAGUUGAAUGCAUGGCCUUCUGGGAAAGAUUUUGCGGUAUGGGAUGGGGUCGCGUCCUAUCAGCUUGAUGGCGGGGUAACGGCCCACCAUGGCUUCGACGGGUAGCCGGCCUGAGAGGGCGACCGGCCACAUUGGGACUGAGAUACGGCCCAGACUCCUACGGGAGGCAGCAGUGGGGAAUAUUGCACAAUGGGCGCAAGCCUGAUGCAGCGACGCCGCGUGCGGGAUGACGGCCUUCGGGUUGUAAACCGCUUUUGACUGGGAGCAAGCCCUUCGGGGUGAGUGUACCUUUCGAAUAAGCACCGGCUAACUACGUGCCAGCAGCCGCGGUAAUACGUAGGGUGCAAGCGUUAUCCGGAAUUAUUGGGCGUAAAGGGCUCGUAGGCGGUUCGUCGCGUCCGGUGUGAAAGUCCAUCGCUUAACGGUGGAUCCGCGCCGGGUACGGGCGGGCUUGAGUGCGGUAGGGGAGACUGGAAUUCCCGGUGUAACGGUGGAAUGUGUAGAUAUCGGGAAGAACACCAAUGGCGAAGGCAGGUCUCUGGGCCGUCACUGACGCUGAGGAGCGAAAGCGUGGGGGAGCGAACAGGAUUAUAUACCCUGGUAAUCCACGCCGUAAACGGUGGAUG